rnacentral:rRNA from 1 species
CCUACGGGUGGCAGCAGUGAGGAAUAUUGGUCAAUGGGCUUACGCCUGAACCAGCCAAGUCGCGUGAGGGAAGACUGCCCUAUGGGUUGUAAACCUCUUUUGUAAGGGAGCAACGCCGGCUACGUGUAGCCGGUCUGAGAGUACCUGCAAAUAAAGCAUCGCUAACCUCCGUGCCAGCAGCCCCGUUAUUACGAGGGUUGCGAGGUUUAUCGGGAUUUAUUGGGUUAAAGGGUUGCGUAGCCGGACUGCCAAGUCGGCGGUAAAAUCGGGGGGCACAACCUCGCUCUGCCGCUGAAACUGGCGUGCUAGAGUGUGCUAGAGGUAUGCGGAAUGCGUGGUGUAGCGGUGAAAUGCAUAGAGAUCACGCAGAACUCCGAUUGCGAGGGCAGCAUACCGACGCACGACUGACGCUGAGGCACGAAAGCGUGGGUAGCAAACAGGAUUAGAUACCCGAGUAGUC